AAGGAAGCUGGACCGACCCUUCGGGGAGCUUUGUACAGGUGCUGCAUGGCUGUCGUCAGCUCGUGUCGUGAGAUGUUCGGUUAAGUCCGCUAACGAGCGCAACCCUCGCUGUGUGUUACAAGUGUCACACGGGAACUGCCGGUCAUAAACCGGAGGAAGGUGGGGAUGACGUCAAGUCAGCAUGGCCUUUAUAUCCUGGGCUACACACACGCUACAAUGGGAAGGGACAAUAGGUUGCGAAGCCGCGAGGCGGAGCCAAUCCAGCAAAACUUCCCUCAGUUCAGAUUGCAGGCUGCAACUCGCCUGCAUGAAGUUGGAGUUGCUAGUAAACGCAGGUCAGCCAUACUGCGUUGAAUACGUCCCCGGGUCUU
rnacentral:rRNA from 1 species